rnacentral:misc_RNA from 1 species
AUCAUCCAAGAAGAGGACCAUGAAUCCUACGAGAUGUCAUACCUAGUGUAAUUAUUCAAAGACUGUACAAAAAGUUGAAAAAAUAUGCCCAUCGGAAGGCUUUGCCGGAUCAGACUUUGGUAGGAGAAAUUUUACAUAAAUGACAGGCAUAACCCAGAGCUUCUAUAUUUUGAUUACAAUUGAUAGAAGAAAGAGAUUUAUCAUCAAAAUUUCUCCCAGCCUAGACAAUGCCACUUCAGAGUACACGGUUUUCUCUUCUCAACCACACAACUAUAGGGAGAGAGAGAGAGAGAGAGAGAGAGAGAGAGAGAGAGAGAGAGAUGAGAGUGAGAGAGGUGUCACUCAUGAGACUGUUCGCCCAUAGCAAAUUGAUGCGAUGUAUAAAUUCUUUGCCCACUUCUCCUUGACAUGGGCACUGGGAAAAGCAGAAGUUCGAAGCGUCUCCUGCGUUUCAUCUGGCGGUUUCCUUCUUGGCACGCUAAGAACGAAAGCAGCCUGAUCCCAAGUUGCUGCAGUUGCUGUAAUACGAUAUGCAUGAUCCCACCGACGAUGUAUGCCCUCACUAGGAUAAAGGAAAUCAAGUUCAACAACCUGGUGUGCAAACCCUGAACCACGAGACAUAACAACUCCCCAUCUACUCCC